rnacentral:lncRNA from 1 species
AGUCUUCUUUUUGCCUGUAACAGUCCAGGACGUCCCAGGGAUCCAGCAGUUCUCUCAGAUGCACUACAAAGUCACUUUAACCCUGAAUGCUGGGGGGCCUGGGAGUCUACACUUCUUCUCUACGCCUUUGUAAGAAUUUAGGGAGAGGCUCAUUGAGAAAUGAACAGUAGAAUCCGGUUAUUCCCAGAUAACAUCUAAAUUGUAACUCAAUUUUAGGAUGGGUGUACCUGCCUGUUUGUUUUCAGGCUGGAAUGUCUUACUCUCAGAGAUCAGUCACAGUUGGAGGUAGGCAAAACGGGAAGCCGAAGGGAAAAGCAAACAACUCACUGAUAACGCAGGAGAAAAGCGAUUAGCAAAGAGAUCCCAGAACCUCCUGAAGAACUAAUCCCCGCCUGGAAUGUAUAAUAUCACUAUUCAAAUUAUGUGACCUAUACAAUGGCAAUUUUUUUUUGGCAAAUCUACCUUUAAAUGUUUCUAUUGCUGCUCAAGUGGGUUAAAUAAAACUAUCCUCCCCAAAAAGAUUAAAAUAUUUCAUCACUACUUAAAAAGGGAUACAGUGAGCUAGCUGUCCACACUAGUUUUGUUUGGAACUGAGAAUAAAUUCAUCAGUAAAAAUGGUUCUUGAAAAAAAGUCUUGUUGGCAAAUAGAGAAAGUUGACAUGGAACUAAUUUAAGUCAUAAUUCAAAAAAGGAAAUGUACUCAAGUCAUCCUGGAAAUACAGCCUGAGGCCGUGUUACUAGCAAACCGCUAACACUGAUGGUCUCUCCACACUUACCUCCCUCCAUCAAGAGGACACUUCUUCCCAUUUUCUCUCCAGGCAUUUUCUAAAGAUGCUGCACUUCUUCAUCGCAGCACUGGGCAAGUAGCUAAGCUCCUGAUUAGAUUUCUGAUACAGCCACAGCACCGUUUUAAAGGUGAACAAGAUGCUUAAUAAUAAAUGACAUCUGGUAUUUAAUUUAAAAAUUUUCUAAUUAUUAAACAUCGGUCCAUAAGAACAAUAACAACAACAACAACAACAACAGGCUCUUGGAAUUCAACAUUCCUAAAAUAACAGAGAAUCAAUUAUUUUUAGUUGACACAGGCAGCUUAGGCAUUAACUAAAUGCUAAUGAGGUGUUUCACUUCCUGAAGAGUUUAUUUUCCUCCUCCUCUCCUUCCUGUGCCCAGGAUGCAAACAGUCACCAGAAGCCCGGCUGGGUCAUGCGGGCAGCCUUUCGCUUCCUUGGAUUUUGCACGCAGCUUCACCAGACAGCAGACUGUGACCCUUUUCAUCAGACCAUGCUAGAAGGAAAGAAAGACUCUGAGCAGAAGGGGUGAGAUGAAGCAGUUCUGGCCGAAUCUUGAUAAUGAUUGGACCUGGGCAAUGAUUUCAUAAGAGCUUAUUGUGCUCAUCUCCCUACUACUAUGUAUGCUUGAAUAUUUGAAUAAUGAAAAUAAAACUUCUUUUUUUUUUU